CCUACGGGAGGCAGCAGUGGGGGAUAUUGCACAAUGGGGGAAACCCUGAUGCAGCGAAGCAGCGUGAGUGAAGAAGUAUUUAGGUAUGUAAAGCUCUAUCAGCAGGGAAGAAAAUGACAGUACGUGAACAAGAAGGCCCGGCUAACUACGUGCCAGAAGCCGCGGUAAUAAGUAGGGGGCAAGCGUUAUCCGGAUUUACUGGGUGUAAAGGGAGCGUAGACGGUUAUGUAAGUCUGGUGUGAAAGCCCGGGGCCCAACCCCGGGACUGCCCUUGGAACUGGAUGGCUGGAGUGCGGGAGGGGCAGGCGGAAUUCCUGGUGUAGCGGUGAAAUGCGUAGAUAUCAGGAGGAACACCGGCGGCGAAGGCGGCCUGCUGGACCGCGACUGACGUUGAGGCUCGAAAGCGUGGGGAGCGAACAGGAUUAGAUACCCCAGUAGUC
rnacentral:rRNA from 1 species